rnacentral:lncRNA from 1 species
AUUGAAACUGCACUAACAGAAGCUUACCAAAGAUCUUUAAUCUCGCCAAAUCCAGUGCCUUAUCUCUGUCUCCUUGAUUGUUCGGGGGUCUUUCACAUCAUUGACCACUCGUUUUUUUCUUUAAUAGCUUCUCAUGUCUUAGCUCCCUUUAUCUCACACCUUCAUUUUGCUGUCACUGGAUGGCCAUUUUUUUCCCCAACAACCUUUGAUGGGUUUUGCUUCUGUUAUGAGCCUUUAAAUAUUGGGAUUCCCAAAGGCUCAGUCCUGGGUAUUCUUCUCCUUUCUUUUUAACUCAACUCUCUCCUUAGAGCAUUCUCAUUUAGUUGAUGGCUUUGAAUGCCCUCUUUUAUGCCAAGAUACUCCAGCAUUUGUAUCUCCAGCCCUGACCUCUACCCUGAACUUCACAUUUGUCUAUCUAGUUUCCUGUUGGGCAUCCGCUCAGAUGUCUGAAAAGCAUUGCAAACUCAGCAUAGCCAGAACAGAAAUCUUGGUACCCCAGCCUCCUUUCCUGCUUACCUUUCACUCCUCUCCCUGUUUCUUACCUCGUAAUUUACAUUACCCUCCAUUCAGUUGCUCAGGACAAAAAUGUAGUUGUCACUUUUCAUUAAUUCUUUCUAUUGCUGUGCUCCCCCUCCCCCAUCCAGUCCCUCACUGAGUCCUGUUAGCACUUCCUUCAGAAUUCCAUCUAAACUUUGUUGGGGUUUUUUUCCUCCAGAUUUCACUGGUCUUCUUCCUUUAUUGCCCCUCCAUAAUCUUUCCACACAGCAACCAGAAUGAUUUUUUUAAUAAUAUGCCACCCCCUCUCCUCCACUUCAUUGAUUCUCAUUACACUUAGAAUACGAUUUGAAUUCUUUAUUAAGUACCUGCCAUGUUAGUUCCAACAGAUCUAACCUCAGCCUAACUUCUUUGGUAUCUUACCCUCCCUCCCCCCAUCACUGACCUCACUCACACUGGGUUUUUUUAUGUUGUUCUCAUAGGAACCUUGUGAUUUUAGUAUUAUGGUAACUAUUUACAAAUGAGGCGAUGGAGGCUCAGAGAAAUUAAUUUCUUGCUGAAAAAAUAUGCACCUAAUGAGGCGCACAUGAGCUCAAAUCCCAAUUCUGAUGUCUGAAAUCAGCCCAUUUUCUGGGAUAACAUGGGUGUCUCCCUGUGCUUUACUCCUUGUCUGUAUAAAGUAAGAUAAUAAUAUCUCCAUAUCUAUUUGUGGAAAACCAUGAGAGCCAGAUGAGUAUGAAUACAGUACCAACAAAAAUUCCAGGCUCUAUUAUUUAAUUAACUGUUAUUUUAUAUCAAGAUUUCUUUCUCUUUUCUUCUUUUUCUUUUUAGGGCCACACAUGUGGCAUAUGGAAGUUCCCAGGCUAGGGGUUGAAUCGGAGCUACAGCUGCUAGCCUACACCACAGCCACAAUGACGCUGGAUCUGAACCACAGCAAACAACCUAUGCUGCACCUUGUGGCAGCACAGGAUCCUUAACCCACUGAGCAAGGCCAGGGAUCAAACCUGCAUCCUCAUGGAUACUAGUUGGGUUCUUAACCCGCAUCCUCAUGGAUACUAGUUGAGUUCUUAACCCACCAUGGGAACUCCGUUAUAGCAAGAUUUCUGAAUACAUGUUGUGAUUCUGUGAAGCCUUCUGUCUGCAGCAGUGGGUAUUUUAAUUAUUUGUUGGACUCCUUGUGGUUAUGUUUGGGCUUCUUUGAGAAUGAGUUUUACACCCUUCCAAUUGUUGGCAAAUAUUCAUCCUGGAGAAAACCAUCCAUCUGUUCAGCUGCUAGCCAAAACAUCACAGUCAAAAUAGCAGAUUCGACUCUAACAUGAAUUACGAUGAGACAGCGUAACAUAGAAUACAAGUCAUAUCCUCGUCAACAGAUGUGGAAAGAGGCCGUAUCUGUCAGGAAGAAUGUAAGAUUUUCAUCAUAGAAAGUUAAGGCUUAACUUAGGACAUUGCAAAUGCCAAAAAUUGCACUUAUGUACAUCAUUAGAGUUGAAACUGAAUGAACAGAAAUAGUGGGAGAGAGAGGGGAAAAAAAGACUAAACGAGUUAGCUCAAGCCCAGCCUGUAUUGCAGAUAGACUUGACAUCUGCUAGACACAGAAGGAAGGCUCUAGAUGCUCCAUGGGCUGGAGGUCUGCUUGAGUAGAUGCUCAGUUACUUGCCUCAGUAUGCAGUAUAUUCUUGAAGCACACGGACAUUUGGCUGCAAUCAUCCUGAGUGUUAUUGUUUCCCUUUUUGUCCAAGGCGUGCUUCUUUCAUGCAGAACUAGUAUAAUAACUUGAUGCUUUUGGCAGGAUGCCCUUGCAUAUGAUUGGUUUCUUGGUUUGGUUAAAUAAUUUUUAUUAUUAAACCCCAAAACGUUUCUAACACAAAUAUAAGGCACAAAUCAUAGUAAACACAAACCUAGAUAGCUAUCCGUCAAGCUACGAAAUAGGAAAUAGAAUGUCGGAGCUCCCUGGUGGCUCAGCAGGUGAAGGAUCCAGCAUUGUCACCACGAUGACCCAGUCACUACUAUGACCUAGUCGCUGCUCUGGUGUGUGUUUGACCCCUGGCCUCAGAACUUUUGCAUGCCAUGGGCACGACCAAAAAGAAAGAAAAAAGAAGAAGCAGAAUGUUUCUAUGAUCUUUGAAGUUCCACCACCCUCUUUUAUCUUAUCUCCCUUUCUGUCCUGUGAGGUUCCCGUCUUUCAGAUCUUAUGUAUCAAUCACUGGGUUUUCGUCAUAGUUUUUCACGUAUGGAUUACAAUUGAUACUUGCUUUGAUUUUUAUGUUUUUAACCGUGUUUGAGUGAAGUCAGAUUAUGCUUAUUUUUUUUUCUACUUUCUUUUUGGCCCAGUAUUGUGAGAUUUAUCCAUGAUGAUGAUAGUUUUCUAUUAUGUAUGUGUAUCAUAGUCUGUUGGCUUUCUGUUUUUAACAAUUACACACUCCUUUGCCAUGAACAUUCAGAAACCUAUCUCCUGUUGAACGUAUACAGAAGUUUUUCUAGGGUAUAAAACUCAGAAUGGAAUUGUUGGGCCAUGAACAUGCUUAUCGCAGCUUCACUAGAUACUGUCAAAUUGUUUUCCAAAAGGACUGUAUACAUUAUACUUAACCAUCUGUGUAUCAGAGUUCCUGUUACUUCAAAUCUUCCUAACAUUGCAGGAUUUAAGGAUUGUUGCCAAUUUUUAAUGAUCAUUUUAAUUUUGUUUUGUAGUUCCAGAAGUUUUUUUGGCUUAAACAUUAAAGGACGUUUUUAUCUUUUCUCAUAUUUUUAAUCUCAUGGCAACACCAGAUCCUUAACCCACUGAGGGAGGCCAGGGAUCCAACCCGAACUCUCAUGGAUACUAGUUGAGUUCAUUACCACUGAUCAAUGACGGGGACUCCUGAAGGUGUUUUUAUCCGGAGUGAAUUCGCUUUUGUGUGUGUGUGUGUGUGUGUGUGUGUGUGGCAUUAACAGCCCUGGAUCCCUCCCUCUAAGUUUAAUUUCUGUGUUUGAGGCUUCUUGUGUCAGAAAGAUAAUAUAGGCUUCAUGCUUGGCCAGUGAUGAAGUUAUGAGUUCUCUGGAAAAUAUCAUCCCACUCUCUCCAGUGCUGAAGUCUAGUGGCAACUUCCUUGCUGUCCCUUCCAUGGAGUGGGUUUAUUCUAAUUCAGACUAAGGUUAUAUGCUCCUUUGGCAUCUAGGUCUGUUCAGGAGUUCGGCGCUGGCACAGUCUCCUGUGUCUUGUACCCUGGCUUCAGUCAGAACGGAAGUCAGCAUUCCCCUGGUAGCCACAUGGCCUCAGUGAGAGAACUAGCUUCAGACUUGACUCAUCUCUCUGGUUCGCUGCUUUUGCUUUAGUAGAAUCAGUGGUGUUAUUUAAUCCAAUGCUAUUUUCCUUUCUUGUCAUCUGGAUGACAGAAUAUUAUUUUCCAUUUUUCUCUUUUUAAAUAGAACUUCUUCUAUGCCUUGAUUUUUUUUUUUUUUAUGAUAAAACCUUUCAGUUGUGCAAAAAAGAUGGGGUAGGAUGGAUAGGAAGUGUAUGACCUGAGUCCAUUGUUAGUUUUAGUGUUUUUUUUGGUUUUUUUGUUUUUGUUUUGUUUUUUCUUUUUCUUGUUUUGUCUUUUUAGGGCCGUACCCACGGCAUGUGGAAGUUUCCAGGGAUCAAACCCAAGUCCUCCUAGACACUAGUCAGGUUCAUUACCACUGAGCCACCAUGGGAAAUUCCAUUGUAGUAUUUUGUCAUAUUUGCCAUGUGUGUAUGCGUGCGUAUGUAUAAUUUUAUGAACCAUUUGGAAGUCUGUGACAUAUAUCACGUCACUUAACCCUGCAUGUUUUGCUGUACAUCUUCUGAAAAUAAGGAUAUUCUCCUUUAUAAUCACUAUACCAUAUCAUACCUUAGAAAAUGAAUAAGAAGUCUCUAAUAUUUUGUCUGACACCUCGUCCAUAUUUAAAUUCCCCAGUUGUCCCUAAAUAUAUGUUAUAUAUAUUUUUCCCCUAAAAUGGGAGUAAUGUAGUGAUGCAUUUUUAAAGAUAUUUAUUUGUCAGUAGGGCUAUUUGGUUCACCAUACUUUCAGAUGUGGAAACAAACUUUAUUGUUUGGCCUUUUCUGAACUUUGCUUCUUGACUACUACAUUUUUCUAGUAGCCAAAUUACUGGUUUUUUUGUUCUUUUUUUUUUUUGCUUUUUAGGGCCGCACUGGCGCCAUAUGUCCCCAGGCUAGGGGUCCAAUCAGAGCUGCAGCUGCUGGCCUACACCACACCACCAGCAAUGUGGGAUCCGAGCCAUGUCUUCCACCUACACCAUAGCUCACGGCAACGCCGGGUUCCUAACCCACUGAGCAGGGCCAGGGAUCAAACCCACAUCCUCAUACAUACUAGUUAGGUUCGUUACUGCUGAGCCAUGAUGGGAACGUCUAGAAUUACUGUAUCUUUUGCUCUCUAUUCACUUUCCUUGUGAAUUGCUUAUUAUUUGGUAUGCAGUUAAAGAACUAUAAUUUAGUUGAAAAACUGUUUUACUUCCUUUUAAAAGAGUUGUCUCUCUCAAGUGGAGGAUCCGGAAGAGGUUAGCUCAUUGUCUUUCUUCCAAAUAGCUACAUAUUCUAAGUUUUGUUCCGUCAAGGGAUUGACCUCACCUAAGGUGCCACCUCUGGGUAU